UAAAGCAGAAUCGUUUCCACUGGUCAGUUAGUAGUAAGACAUCGGCUUAAAGUGAACAUUGGAUUCAAACUCUAUCUAACUGAAAUUAUAAACGACUUUUUAAUAAAGAUGUUCAAAAUCAAUGGAUUCGUAUUGGCUUUCCUAGUGGUGACUGUUCUGGCUACAGUUGUCAUACCUCCUGCUAACGCAGAAUAUGGUUGCUACAAAGGCUAUUGUUGGUCAUGGUGUGCUGAGAAAGGGUCCGGACAAUGGUGCUAUACAACAAAAGGGCGAAGAGAUGAUCAUAACUGGAUAGGAUGCACUUCGCCAGCAGAUUGUAAUGAAAAUUGGGAAUGCGCAAACGAAUGUCACCCCAAGGAUUAUACAAAAUGAAGAACAACAAUGUGAUUUGAUCCCGAAAAUGACACUGGUGGAAAAAAUACUCAAGAUAACAAUAAAAGAAAUAAUAAUGAAGAGAAAACUGUCAUGACAAAA